rnacentral:rRNA from 1 species
CGAACGGGUGAGUAACGCGUAAACAACCUGCCCAACGGAUGGGGACAACAGACGGAAACGACUGCUAAUACCCAAUAGACUCCGGUUUCGCAUGAAACCGACAGGAAAGGUGGCCUCUCGAAGAAGCUACCGCCGCAGGAGGGGUUUGCGUUUGAUUAGUUAGUUGGUGGGGUAACGGCCUACCAAGACGAUGAUCAAUAGCCGGCCUGAGAGGAUGAACGGCCACACUGGAACUGAGACACGGUCCAG